rnacentral:rRNA from 1 species
UACGGGGGGGGCAAGCGUUGUUCGGAAUUACUGGGCGUAAAGGGCUCGUAGGCGGCCAACUAAGUCAGACGUGAAAUCCCUCGGCUUAACCGGGGAACUGCGUCUGAUACUGGAUGGCUAGAGGUUGGGAGAGGGAUGCGGAAUUCCAGGUGUAGCGGUGAAAUGCGUAGAUAUCUGGAGGAACACCGGUGGCGAAGGCGGCAUCCUGGACCGACACUGACACUGAGGAGCGAAAGCCAGGGGAGCAAACGGG